AACGAACGCUGGCGGCAUGCCUAACACAUGCAAGCCGAACGAGAUCUUCGGGUCUAGUGGCGCACGGGUGCGUAACGCGUGGGAAUCUGCCCUUUGGUUCGGAAUAACAGUUGGAAACGACUGCUAAUACCGGAUGAUGACGAAAGUCCAAAGAUUUAUCGCCAGAGGAUGAACCCGCGUAGGAUUAGCUAGUUGGUGUGGUAAAGGCGCACCAAGGCGACGAUCCUUAGCUGGUCUGAGAGGAUGAUCAGCCACACUGGGACUGAGACACGGCCCAGACUCCUACGGGAGGCAGCAGUGGGGAAUAUUGGACAAUGGGCGAAAGCCUGAUCCAGCAAUGCCGCGUGAGUGAUGAAGGCCUUAGGGUUGUAAAGCUCUUUUACCCGGGAUGAUAAUGACAGUACCGGGAGAAUAAGCUCCGGCUAACUCCGUGCCAGCAGCCGCCGUAAUAC
rnacentral:rRNA from 1 species